rfam:Asian citrus Psyllid, Diaphorina citri - Florida Strain, whole genome shotgun sequence.
GCUCCCAUGGCGUAGUGGUCACUGCGCUCGCCUUGCACGCGGGAGACCCGGGUUCGAUUCCCGGCGGAAUCA